GACGAACGCUGGCGGCGUGCUUAACACAUGCAAGUCGAACGGAGCACUUUUGAUAGAGACUUCGGUCAAUGGAUAAAGUUGCUUAGUGGCGGACUGGUGAGUAACGCGUGAGGAACCUGCCUUUCAGAGGGGGACGAACAGUUGGAAACGACUGCUAAUACCGCAUGACACAUUGGAGGGGGCGAUCCCUUUCGUAUGUCAAAGAAUUUAUUCGCUGAAAGAAUGGCCUCGCGUCUGAUUAGAUAGUUGGCGGGGUAACGGCCCACCCAAGUCGACGAUCAGUAGCCGGACUGAGAGGUUGACCGGCCACAUUGGGACUGAGAUACGGCCCAGACUCCUACGGGAGGCAGCAGUGGGGAAUAUUGGGCAAUGGACGCAAGUCUGACCCAGCAACGCCGCGUGAAGGAAGAAGGCUU
rnacentral:rRNA from 1 species